GCAGACUCCCCGCUGAGCAGGGAGCCCAAUGCGGGACUCGAUCCCGGGACUCCAGGAUCAUGACCUGAGCCGAAGGCAGUGUCCCAACUAACUGAGCCACCCAGGCGCCCAGCUAUGCAAUUUUUAAGAGUACGAGCUUUUCAUUUUAUAGGGCGACCCUCACCCCAAAGCCUACUGUUUCCUCAAGCCAUGCCUUCUUGGCAGGAGGAGCACAGAAACAAGACCGCCUUUCCAUCAGGAGGCCCAUGGUGACAGCACGCCCGGCGCUGGACAGAGGCAGAAGAUGUGGCUCCGGAGGUGUGGCAAUGGAAACAAGAGGAAGGGGGCGCAAGCCAAGGAGCGCAGGCAGCUGCCCACGCUGGAAGAGGCAGGGAAAUGAUUCUUCCCUGGAGCCUCGGCAGGAAGUACAGUCCUGCCCACAAUGGGACUCCAGCCCAGGAGACACAGUUCGGGGUCCUAGCCUCUAGAACUGUGAGAAAACCAGUUUGGUUACUCCUGGCCAAAUGCCCAGGCCUUCGGGGGGUACACGAAGUCUCCUUUGCCCUCAGGGAUGGCUGCCCUGAAGCAGCCGCGGUUCUCCAUCCAGUGUCCUCUACGGUGUCACCACCUCCAAGAAGCUUUCGAGGAUUGCUCACCCAGACUUGGUGCUCUCUUCUUCAGCCGACCCUCUAGAGAUCAAAAACUCCCUCGGCUCUCCAGCCUCCCUCUCUGCUCCUGUCCCUGAAAUGCAGAGCUCUGCUGGUGCAUUUGUGGCACAGACCCUGUCUGGGACUCACUGGUCACCAAGUCCAGCUGGGCUCCUGGUCAUAGCUUAUUGAGCUGGGUGUUUUGAACGGGACUGUGUGAGCUUUGGAGUCAAAGAGUUGGGGUUUUAACUCUUGGCCCCGCCAAGGACCAGGGGCAUAUUCUUUCAAUCAUUCAGCUACUACCCGAGCGCCUGCUGUGUGUCAAGCACUGUUCUAGACACAGGUGAUACAGCAAGCACGCUGGGUUGUGUGUUUUCAAUCUGGCAUCACUGCCCCCCCUUUAGAGUCUCCUCUGCAGAGGGAAAGCCAGAAUCACAUUUCCCAGAAUCUCCUCCGCUGUACAUUUCUGGGUUCGAGACCGUCAAUGAGAGGUAUUCAAAGGAGAUUUGGAAGUCAAAAGAGAAGCCAUUUUUCUCUCUGGAAUGCUUGCCGGCAGAUGGCGGAUAUCAAGUUUGCAGCAACUUCCGGGUAAAUGCCUGCAAAUUAUUUGCAGGUGAGUGACCUGGCCAGCAGCAGCUUUCUGGAAAGUUCUUUAAGAUUCACAGCAGCUUCUGGGCAGGCUCUUGAGAAUUGUUUCCUUGUCGCAACAGACUGAGACAGCUGACAACCAAUUCCAGGAGUUCUCAAAAUGCAUAAUAGGCUCCCAGCAAGCUCUUGAGAACCACCCACUUUCCUGUGGCAAGCUGAGACCACCAACGUCCCCACUGAUCUGGACUCCCUGCACUCCUCCCGACCAUUGUGUGAGACUCUAAUGCCAGGGAUUAAAACCCUUCACGUAUGGAAUCUAUAGAAUGGCUUGUUUUCCUGAUCAAGCCAUAGCUGAAACCAACAGCCCACCAAUCAAAGUCCCUAUCCUCAAAAAAGCUUGUAUUUCUAGUGGGCUGAGGCCGAUCAGAAACAAUCAAGGGAAUAAAUAAGAGUCACUUUGGUGAGGGUGGUCAAAGGGGCCCUCUCUGAAAGGUGACUUUUGAGCAGAGACCUAAAUGAUCCAAAGGAGGCAGCCAUGGGAAAGGCCAGGAGAACCUUCCAGACAAAGGGAACAAUGAGUCAAAAGGCCCCCACGAGACAAUGAAGAUGGCAUAUCCAAGAAAUAGCAAGAGGUCUUCACUCCUAAGCAGACUAGAGAAGCACCGCCACCCAACCUCGCCUCCGAGCUACCACUGGCGUCUAAUCUCUGCUUCGAGAACCUACUACUGUCCGCAAGGGUCUUUCUCAGCUUUUUGUUUACUGGACUAUUGUCCGUCUACCCUCAUUGUGAUACAAGCCUGUGUGGUUUUGACACUGUCCCCGGUGCCUGGCACAACGCCAGACUGCUGGAUGUUUAAUAGUAGUGAAUAAAGUGGGAUA